GGGCGCAGCUGGGCACGGAAGCGUGGGGCGGCGGCGAGUCCCUCCCUGCGGCGAUCCGCCCCCGCCCGGAGCCCCUAGCCUGUCCCGCGGAAACCGCGGGCGCUGCAGCACCCCCGUCGCGCUCGGUUUACCGGCCUGUGUAAUGGGCCGAGGUCGUGCACCGCCGGACCCAGAAACAGGCGUUUCUUCAACAUGCACUGUCAAGCGGCUACUGUGUGCAAGGAGCGCGAGUGGGGGGCGCUGGGCCGGGGUCAGGGAGCCCGCACUUGGUGGACACUUCGAGCAGGGCUCCCUAGCUGGGGCCCUCUCCGCCUGCGCUAGCUUCUAGAGCCCUACCGCGUGCAGAGGUGACAAGGACCGUGCGUACACCUACUGUCUGCCAGCAGGUGUUGAGCGCCUGGGGAGGAGAGCCGUCGUCGAGCCUGACCCCCAGGACCUGCUGUUCUCCCGAGGGAGAGCGCAGUAAACGGAUGAGAAUGACCUUAAGCGUCCCUAUAAGAUUUGGGUCUCUCUGGCUGCCUGCAAGGAAUGGACUCCGGGACGGUGCAGAGGCAGGACACCAGGAAGAGGUGACCACGACAGCUCAGCAGCAGGACACAGCGCAACUGCGUGCCACCCUACUCAGCCCACCAGAACACACCAUCACUUUUGUGAGGUCCGUGCAGAGAGGCGUGACCUGAAGCUAGCCAUGAGGAAGCCUCAGGCAAAUCCAAAGUAAAGGGCAAGCUACAAAGAGGCUGGCCUGUCAUCCUCAAAAUUGCCAAGGACAAGAGAAAGGCCACGGAAGACUGAGGAGCUGUUGAGAGAGCCCGAUACAACCGAAGGAAGUGAGGUGUGGUCCUGGACCGGAAAGAAAUCAUAAAGACCUUCUUGGGGACCAUUAUGGAAUGUCGAAUAUGACAUGUGGGUUUGAGGGUGGUGUUGUAUCGAUGGUAAGUGUCACGAGUUUGUGUAUUGUGUGUGUGUAGUGGGGGUCGGGGGCCGGGAGAUCCAUGCCGGAGGGUUUGCGGAAUCAAAGGACAUCACAUCCACAACUGACUCUUCAUCAUUCAGGACAAGAGAGAAACAUAAAUAGAGAGGAAAUGAUGAAGUGGGACAGAACAUAAAUAAUCUGGGCAAAGGAGAUCCUGGAGUUCCUUAUAACUCCCAUAAUUUUUCUGUAAGUUCAGAAGUUGUGCGACAGUCCGUUGAAAAGCAAAUCAAAACAUUUGACCUCCAAGAAACCCAAGAGAAAUGAAAAUAUAUGUCCACCAAAGAGACCUGCAAGCAUGUUCAUGGGAGUUUUAUUUAUAAUAGCCCCAAGCUGGACACAGCCCAGAUGUCUUUCAGCACGUGAGAAGAUCAACAAAUUGUGGGUCAUCUAUAAAUGGACUACUACGCCGUGGUGCUGGGGGGCGAGCUAUGGAGUCCUGCACACGAUGGCUGAAUGGAGAGCACAUUGGCCAAGGGACCGAAGCCAGACACAAAAGACCACGUACCCUGUGAUCGCUCUGAUAGAAAGUUCUGGGCCAGGUCUGAUGAAUCCAGAAGUCACCACAGUGGUUCUUUCUGUGGCUGGAGGAGUUUCACUGCUCGGGAAGGGGCCUUCGGGAACCUUCUGGGCUGCUGCUAAGUUUCUGUCUUGACCUGGGUGGUAGUGAUAUGGAUUUAUACACACGUGAGUAAAUACUCAUUGAGAUAAAAACUCAGCAAGACAGAUUCCCUCUCGGUAUUUACAUAUGUUAAACUCAAAAUCAGAGUAAAAAAAGAAAAAAAAU